UGAGUAGCGAAAGACGGGUGAGAAUCCCGUCCACCGAUUGACUAAGGUUUCCAGAGGAAGGCUCGUCCGCUCUGGGUUAGUCGGGUCCUAAGCUGAGGCCGACAGGCGUAGGCGAUGGAUAACAGGUUGAUAUUCCUGUACCACCUAGUAUCGUUUUAAUCGAUGGGGGGACGCAGUAGGAUAGGCGAAGCGUGCUGUUGGAGUGCACGUCCAAGCAGUAAGGCUGAGUGUUAGGCAAAUCCGGCACUCAUAAGGCUGAGCUGUGAUGGGGAGAGGAAAUUGUUUCCUCGAGUCGUUGAUUUCACACUGCCGAGAAAAGCCUCUAGAUAGAUAACAGGUGCCCGUACCGCAAACCGACACAGGUAGUCAAGAUGAGAAUUCUAAGGUGAGCGAGCGAACUCUCGUUAAGGAACUCGGCAAAAUGACCCCGUAACUUCGGGAGAAGGGGUGCUCUUUAGGGUUCACGCCCAGAAGAGCCGCAGUGAAUAGGCCCAAGCGACUGUUUAUCAAAAACACAGGUCUCUGCUAAACCGU
rnacentral:rRNA from 1 species